rnacentral:sRNA from 1 species
CAAAUAAAAUUAUUUUCCUUCAAAGUAAGUACUUCAAACGAAACAAUUUUAGAUAAGCGAGUAAAGCUCAGGAUUGUUUCGUUUGCUACGAUUUUUGACUCAUAGUUAAAUUAUUGAUAACACAUGAAUCCAAUUCUAACAAAUAAGCUCCAGAAGAAACUGGGGUACACUUUUCAAC